GGGGAGAGACUGUGGCUCAGGGGUAGAGCAUCUGCUUUGCAUGCAGAAGGUUCCUAGUUCAACCACUGGUGUCCCCA